GCGUUGUCGUCAGCUCGUGUCGUGAGAUGUUGGGUUAAGUCCCGCAACGAGCGCAACCCCUAUUGCUAGUUACCAUCAUUAAGUUGGGGACUCUAGCGAGACUGCCAGUGAUAAACUGGAGGAAGGUGGGGAUGACGUCAAAUCAUCAUGCCCCUUAUGACCUGGGCUACAAACGUGAUACAAUGGCUGGAACAAAGGGAUGCGAAGCAGUGAUGUGGAGCGAAACCCAUAAAAACAGUCUCAGUUCGGAUUGAAGUCUGCAACUCGACUUCAUGAAGUCGGAAUCGCUAGUAAUCGCGGAUCAGAACGCCGCGGUGAAUACGUUCUCGGGGUUU
rnacentral:rRNA from 1 species